CGUCACCAGGCUAUGGCCUUGGCCGUAAGACUGUGGGAUGCUGGGAAAAGGUUCUGUGGGUUGGGAAGCAGGGAGGAGCUGUUCGUCCCACCCAUGGACCCCCGGCUCAUCAAUGCUGCAAACAGGCCGUCUUUUAGGGGGAUCCCCUUCUCAUCACAUCAGUGAGAGCAGCUGAGAAAGGACCCCCAUUGGGGGGAGGCUCGAGCUGCAGGGCCAGCACCCGUAGCAGCAGCUGUGCCCCUGGCCGGGCACUCCCAGGACAUGUGCUGCAGGUGCAGCGCACAGGACGCUGGGGCCCCAGGACCAGCCUCCAUGCCCACUACUCGCCAGACAGCCACCGGUCAGGGGUCACCUGCAGCUGAGGGCAGAGGGGAGCCCCCGCCUGAGCUGAUGCAGUUAAACAGCUCAGAAGGACCUCGAUGAUGCUCGACCCCAUGGCUGUGUGACCCUGGGCAAGAGACGGCAUCUCUCUGACCCGCUUUCCUCCUGACUUGACGGGGUGACCCCAGGGUGGUGAGAAGAGCUGACGUCCUAGGUGGGCACGCACCAGCGAGAACGAGACCAUCACGGCGUCCGGAGCUCCAGCAGACCUUGCGGGGCCUGGGCGCACAGCGGCCGCAGCUCUCAGGGGCCCCAACAUGGACAUUUGUGGGUGAGGCCCAUUUACCCACCGGGCUGCUGUUUGGGGAUACCGGGUGGUGCAGGAAGGGUUCACAGCAGUGUCGGGGGGGAUGGCCCAUGCAAGACCCCGCAUCACACCCCCCUGAGAGCCAGGCAGAGGGGACCUCAGAGAGGUGGAGCAAGUGGCAGACAGCCCUGAGGAUACACCCCCCCACCCCGGAUAUAAACUGCCCAAGGGUGAGGACUUCGUCCACCUCGCCCCUCACUCCCGCUGCGGCUGGACCCGGGUUGAGCGUGUGGCCAGAGGUGUGAUUUCUUCCACACACGCUCCCGCCAUCGGCCUUGGAGCCCUCACCUGCCGGCACCAGGCUGUUUGGAUUUUUAGCCUCCAAAACUGGGAUUUAAAUAGGCCUCUUCUCUUUAUCAAGUCAGCCUGCUUUAGGUCUCUGCUGGCCCUGCUGAAUGAACUCAUACAACUCACACGUUUGUUGAAUGAAUAAAUCGCCGGCCCCUCUCACAUUGCGUGACCUUGGGCAAGGACCCCCAGCCCUGGGGUCCUUUGCUUUAUCAUUAGCCCAAGAGAUGCUGCGACACGGGCCAUGCAGGGUGUGGCACCAUCUUAUCAGCCAGCAAGAAAGGAGCACAGCUCUUUGUGUCAUUCUG